GGAAAACCUGCCACUGUUCUGAUCCAGAGGCAGAGACUCCGCCGGGUAAAAUCCUCCAAAUCCUCUGUUUUACCUUAAAUACCCUGCUGCAACUAUGAACCAGACUCACAAGAAGAAAACAUGAAAGCAGGAAAAGAAAGUACCAGCCUCUCAGAAAUUCUUACAGAUGCCAGAAUUUCUAUUAUUCAAGGUGAGCAACUGGAGGGCAGGUCGCUGUCAUCCUUGACACCAAGAUCUGGAACUAAAGGAUGUCUUUUGCAUGAAGAGGUCAGAUUCAUGGUGCCAAAGGGCUAAAACAGCAGUGAGCACAGAUGGAGCUGUCUAAAGCCAAGCUCACGCGUGCACCAUGUACUGACAAACCCUUGCAAAAAGCUGUCUUUGGAAAAUAAAUACCGUCAACAGACUUUAAGAGUGAGUAAGCUGACCCAGAGAGAAGAAGUCAAGCCUGUAUAUACUGUGUAAAUCAUGUCCAGAACACAGGGUGCCCAAGGCUGGAGACACGAACAUGGACAAUAUAACGUUGGUCGGACUGUUGAUACUUUUAAAGCCGUCCAUUUCCCUGUUUCCCUGGCAACCAUUAACAGCAGAUGUAAUCCUUAAGGGAGUACCAUGACCUCCUGAUCUGCAAGCUAAU
ensembl:lncRNA